GGAGGGUGCGAGCGUUAAUCGGAAUUACUGGGCGUAAAGAGCACGUAGGCGGCUUGGUCAGUCGGAUGUGAAAGCCCCGGGCUUAACCUGGGAAUUGCACUCGAUACUGCCAGGCUAGAGUUUAAUAGAGGAAUGCGGAAUUCCGGGUGUAGCGGUGAAAUGCGUAGAUAUCCGGAGGAACAUCAGUGGCGAAGGCGGCAUUCUGGGUUAAAACUGACGCUGAGGUGCGAAAGCGUGGGGAGCAAACAGGGAUUAGAUACCCUGGUAGUCCACGCCGUAAACGAUGUCAACUAGCCGUUGGGAUUUUUCUUAGUGGCGCAGCUAACGCGAUAAGUUGACCGCCUGGGGAGUACGCCGGCAACGGUA
rnacentral:rRNA from 1 species